rnacentral:rRNA from 1 species
CACGUAGGGGACGAGCGUUGUCCGGAUUCAUUGGGCGUAAAGCGCGCGUAGGCGGCUCGGAAAGUCGGGCGUGAAAUCUCGGGGCUUAACUCCGAAACUGCAUUCGAUACUGCCGUGCUUGAGGACUGGAGAGGAGACUGGAAUUUACGGUGUAGCGGUGAAAUGCGUAGAUAUCGUAAGGAAGACCAGUGGCGAAGGCGGGUCUCUGGACAGUUCCUGACGCUGAGGCACGAAGGCCAGGGGAGCAAACGGG